rnacentral:rRNA from 1 species
AGAGUUUGAUCAUGGCUCAGAGCGAACGCUGNNGGAAUGCUUAACACAUGCAAGUCGCACGGGCAGCAAUGUCAGUGGCGGACGGGUGAGUAACGCGUAGGAAUGUGUCCUGGGAUGGGGGGAUAACGUCGGGAAACUGGCGCUAAUACCGCAUGUGGCCUGAGGGUCAAAGCCGCGAGGCGUCUUAGGAGCAGCCUGCGUCCGAUUAGCUUGUUGGUGGGGUAAAGGCUUACCAAGGCGACGAUCGGUAGCUGGUCUGAGAGGAUGAUCAGCCACACUGGAACUGAGACACGGUCCAGACUCCUACGGGAGGCAGCAGUGGGGAAUAUUGGACAAUGGGCGCAAGCCUGAUCCAGCAAUUCCGCGUGGGUGAAGAAGGUCUUCGGAUUGUAAAGCCCUUUCGACGGGGACGAUGAUGACGGUACCCGUAGAAGAAGCCCCGGCUAACUUCGUGCCAGCAGCCGCGGUAAUACGAAGGGGGCUAGCGUUGCUCGGAAUGACUGGGCGUAAAGGGCGCGUAGGCGGCACACACAGUCAGGCGUGAAAUUCCUGGGCUUAACCUGGGGGCUGCGUUUGAUACAUGUGAGCUAGAGGAUGGAAGAGGCUCGUGGAAUUCCCAGUGUAGAGGUGAAAUUCGUAGAUAUUGGGAAGAACACCGGUGGCGAAGGCGGCGAGCUGGUCCAUUACUGACGCUGAGGCGCGAAAGCGUGGGGAGCAAACAGGAUUAGAUACCCUAGUAGUCC